UGUCAAUCAAUCCACAUGUGUUUUAUUGUUCUAUUUGAAGCCAUCUCCUCAUUUCCAGCCCUUUGAGCGGCAAUAUGAUUUAACACUUUUUUGCAUUAAAUCCUGGUCAAAGACAACACCUGCCUGUUCCUUGGAGGAAGUGAUGCAAGAGAGAGUUUAGCUGGCUGCAGUGUUGAGAAGUUGCUGUGUGUUCGAGGUGGAUGAGGCGGUGUUAUCUGGAGGCAGCAGACGACAUAAAUAGAGUUGGCUCAGAUCGAGGCUCGCAGCUGCUGGUUGUUCGUCAUUGACAGGAAACAGGAAGUGGACUUCUGCUGCAGCCAUGGCAGCCAAGUCUUUUUGCCCCAGGGCUGCUGUGCCUACAUAGGUCAUGUGUCAGCAGGGAACUAUACUGCCCGACAAAGUCAGAACGCUGUAACAUCAUGUUUGGUCAAAACUAAGUUAAUGUAAUUUUCUUUGUAUUUGAGACCUCCUUUAUCAUGUGAAUAAAUAUUGUGAAAAAAUAUAUAAAAUAUUAAGCACAAAAUUAACCUUUGACACUUAU